CCUACGGGUGGCAGCAGUGGGGAAUAUUGCACAAUGGGGGGAACCCUGAUGCAGCGACGCCGCGUGAGUGAAGAAGUCUUUCGGUAUGUAAAGCUCUAUCAGCAGGGAAGAAAAUGACGGUACCUGACUACGAAGCCCCGGCUAAUCACGUGCCAGCAGCCGCGGUAAUACGCAGGGGGCAAGCGUUAUCCGGAUUUACUGGGUGUAACGGGAGCGUAGACGGCAGGGCAAGUCAGAAGUGAAAGCCCGCGGCUCAACUGCGGGACUGCUUUGGAAACUGCCCGGCUUGAGUGCGGGAGAGGUAGGCGGAAUUCCUGGUGUAGCGGUGAAAUGCGUAGAGAUUAGGAGGAACACCGGUGGCGAAGGCGGCUUACUGGACAGUAACUGACGUUGAGGCUCGAAAGCGUGGGGAGCAAACAGGAUUAGAUACCCUAGUAGUC
rnacentral:rRNA from 1 species